CCCUUAGAUGUUCUGGGCUGCACGCGCGCUACACUGACAUGUCCAGCGAGCUCCCAACCUGCUCGGCAAAGAAUGGGUACCCUUUUUAACGCAUGUCGUGAUGGGGAUAGAUUAUUGCAAUUGUUGAUCUUGAACGAGGAAUUCCUAGUAAGCACAAGUCAUCAGCUUGUGUUGAUUACGUCCCUGCCCUUUGUACACACCGCCCGUCGCUCCUACCGAUUGAAUGUUCCGGUGAGCUCUUCGGACUGCGCGGUCUGCAGUUUCUGCGUUCCGUGCGGAAAGUUGCGCAAACCUUAACAUUUAGAGGAAGGAGAAGUCGUAACA
rnacentral:rRNA from 1 species